rnacentral:sRNA from 1 species
GCCCGGGUUCCUCGGACUGCCGAGGGCAGGCGUGGGUGGGUGGGUGACUUCAGGCCCGCAGGAUUGCCUUCCUAAACCCUGUGACACCUAAGGUGAAGGUGAUAAAGUAAAGUGCUUUCACUGUGGAGGAGGGCUAACUGAUUGGAAGCCCACUGAA